rnacentral:tRNA from 1 species
GGAGUUGUGGCUUAGUGGUAGAGCACCUGCUGAGCAGGUGUUAGGUUCUGGGUUUGAUUCUCAGCACCA